rnacentral:rRNA from 1 species
ACGCUGGCGGCGUGCCCNACACAUGCAAGUCGUACGAGAAAUCCCGAGCUUGCUUGGGAGAGUAAAGUGGCGCACGGGUGAGUAAUGCGUGGGUAACCCACCUUCGAAUCUGGGAUAACUCCGCGAAAGCGGUGCUAAUACCGGAUAAGACCACAGCCGCUUCGGCGGCAGAGGUAAAAGUUGACCUCUCCAUGGAAGUUAGCGUUCGAGGACGGGCCCGCGUCCUAUCAGCUUGUUGGUGGGGUAAAGGCCUACCAAGGCAGCGACGGGUAGCUGGUCUGAGAGGAUGAUCAGCCACACUGGAACUGGAACACGGUCCAGACUCCUACGGGAGGCAGCAGUGAGGAAUUUUGCGCAAUGGGCGAAAGCCUGACGCAGUAACGCCGCGUGGGUGAAGAAGGCUUUCGGGUCGUAAAGCCCUGUCAGGUGGGAAGAAACUCUUCAGCACUAAUAAUGCUGAAGCCUGACGGUACCACCAGAGGAAGCACCGGCCAACUCCGUGCCAGCAGCCGCGGUAAUACG